AUUGAACGCUGGCGGCAGGCUUAACACAUGCAAGUCGAGCGGGGUGAUGGUGCUUGCACUAUCACUUAGCGGCGGACGGGUGAGUAAUGCUUAGGAAUCUGCCUAUUAGUGGGGGACAACAUCUCGAAAGGGAUGCUAAUACCGCAUACGUCCUACGGGAGAAAGCAGGGGAUCACUUGUGACCUUGCGCUAAUAGAUGAGCCUAAGUCGGAUUAGCUAGUUGGUGGGGUAAAGGCCUACCAAGGCGACGAUCUGUAGCGGGUCUGAGAGGAUGGUCCCGCACACUGGGACUGAGACACGGCCCAGACUCCUACGGGAGGCAGCAGUGGGGAAUAUUGGACAAUGGGGGGAACCCUGAUCCAGCCAUGCCGCGUGUGUGAAGAAGGCCUUAUGGUUGUAAAGCACUUUAAGCGAGGAGGAGGCUCUUUUGGUUAAUACCCAAGAUGAGUGGACGUUACUCGCAGAAUAAGCACCGGCUAACUCUGUGCCAGCAGCCGCGGUAA
rnacentral:rRNA from 1 species